ACGGCUCAGUAACACGUGGAUAACCUGCCCUUGGGUCCGGCAUAACUCCGGGAAACUGGAGAUAAUUCCGGAUAACGCAUAUAUGCUGGAAUGCUUUAUGCGUAAAAUGGAUUCGUCUGCCCAAGGAUGGGUCUGCGGCCUAUCAGGUAGUAGUGGGUGUAAUGUACCUACUAGCCUACGACGGGUACGGGUUGUGAGAGCAAGAGCCCGGAGAUGGAUUCUGAGACAUGAAUCCAGGCCCUACGGGGCGCAGCAGGCGCGAAAACUUUACAAUGCGGGAAACCGUGAUAAGGGGACACCGAGUGCCAGCAUCAUAUGCUGGCUGUCCAGGUGUGUAAAAUACACCUGUUAGCAAGGGCCGGGCAAGACCGGUGCCAGCCGCCGCGGUAACACCGGCGGCCCGAGUGGUGAUCGUGAUUAUUGGGUCUAAAGGGUCCGUAGCCGGUUUGGUCAGUCCUCCGGGAAAUCUGAUAGCUCAACUAUUAGGCUUUCGGAGGAUACUGCCAGACUUGGAACCGGGAGAGGUAAGAGGUACUACAGGGGUAGGAGUGAAAUCUUGUAAUCCCUGUGGGACCACCUGUGGCGAAGGCGUCUUACCAGAACGGGUUCGACGGUGAGGGACGAAAGCUGGGGGCACGAACCGGAUUAGAUACCCGGGUAGUCCCAGCCGUAAACGAUGCUCGCUAGGUGUCAGGCAUGGCGCGACCGUGUCUGGUGCCGCAGGGAAGCCGUGAAGCGAGCCACCUGGGAAGUACGGCCGCAAGGCUGAAACUUAAAGGAAUUGGCGGGGGAG
rnacentral:rRNA from 1 species